UUUUAGAACACUGUAUAAAUAAUUUUUACAGCGUAAAAGCAAAAUAGAUUCAUAUAUAUCGUAAUACAGUAAGCCUGAGUAUUUAAUUUAAUUUACAGUAACAAGUGGGCCAUCGAAUAACCGAAAGUAAGAAAAAUUGUGAACCUACAGUUUGGAGGAUGCAAAUCCAAUGGUGGUCCUCGAUGAAAUCAGCUAUCUAUAGAUUAUCCUGAGCCUGAAAUGGGUGGAAAGGAGGGUGGUGAGAUUAUAUAAUCCCAGUGAGUAAACAUAUACCAUCUAAAAUAUCUAAAGCCGAGUAAAUGGAGACAAAUAAAACAGUUUAACAUACUGUAAUUCAUCACCUUUCAACUUGUUUCAAUCAAAUAAAAUCAAUUCAUAUAAAUCGAGUAAUCAACAUGUCUUAUGAAUUUCUUAAAACUUUGGCUCGUUUCAAAAAUCAUUUUCAUACCCAGUUAUCAAGGAUGCCUUGAUCGAGGGCUAUCCCAACCGCGUCCGCCAAGGCUGUUAAAAAGUUAUGUACGCAUAAAUCAUGUUUUUAUUUUAAAAAUAUAGCUGUUCUUUGGCAUUAGCAAAGUUCAUCAUCACAAGGUGGUUUGGCGUGAAGUGAACUCUAAAGUUAUACCUCGGGAGUUACCCUACUCGCCUCUCCAAUCGAGGUAAAAUAUGACCAGGUUCGUGCCCCUCUAAUAGUCUAGUCCACAGAACCAGCCCACUGCAGCAAGCUAAACCCACCAUACAAUAAAAAACUGCAGCAAGCUAAACCCACCAUACAAUAAAAAUUCAACAGCAUGACAUGGCAAUUUUAUCAUUAUCCAGCCUAUCAAGGCAAACAACAGUUUAUACAUUUCAACACAAAUACCAAUUCAGCCAUUCAUGCCAAUAUUGUCAUAAGCCAAUCGAUUAGAACCAUAAAUUCACAAUACAUCAAAUGGUCUCCAAUUACUCUAUUUGCAAAGCCAUCAUUCAAUUUUAAAACAAUUUUAUGAAAUCAUUUUAUUUAAACCCAUUUUGUUUAUAAAACCUAAAAAUUUA
rnacentral:lncRNA from 1 species